AGAGUUUGAUCAUGGCUCAGAUUGAACGCUGGCGGCAUGCUUUACACAUGCAAGUCGAACGGUAACAGGCCGCAAGGUGCUGACGAGUGGCGAACGGGUGAGUAAUGCAUCGGAACGUGCCCAGUCGUGGGGGAUAACGCAGCGAAAGCUGCGCUAAUACCGCAUACGAUCUAUGGAUGAAAGCGGGGGACCGUAAGGCCUCGCGCGAUUGGAGCGGCCGAUGUCAGAUUAGGUAGUUGGUGGGGUAAAGGCUCACCAAGCCAACGAUCUGUAGCUGGUCUGAGAGGACGACCAGCCACACUGGGACUGAGACACGGCCCAGACUCCUACGGGAGGCAGCAGUGGGGAAUUUUGGACAAUGGGCGCAAGCCUGAUCCAGCAAUGCCGCGUGCAGGAAGAAGGCCUUCGGGUUGUAAACUGCUUUUGUACGGAACGAAACGGCUCUGGUUAAUACCUGGGGCUAAUGACGGUACCGUAAGAAUAAGCACCGGCUAACUACGUGCCAGCAGCCGCGGUAAUACGUAGGGUGCAAGCGUUAAUCGGAAUUACUGGGCGUAAAGCGUGCGCAGGCGGUUUUGUAAGACAGGCGUGAAAUCCCCGGGCUCAACCUGGGAAUGGCGCUUGUGACUGCAAAGCUGGAGUGCGGCAGAGGGGGAUGGAAUUCCGCGUGUAGCAGUGAAAUGCGUAGAUAUGCGGAGGAACACCGAUGGCGAAGGCAAUCCCCU
rnacentral:rRNA from 1 species